UCCACUCCCUUGGUUGCUCCACGUAUUGUUCCAGGUGUCUUCUUUUCUAACCUUUACAUUUCCCACUCCCUUGGUUGCUACACGUAGUGUUCCAGGUGUCUUCUUUUCCAAUCUUCAUCCCAAGUUUUUUCGGUUUUCUUUUUAUUUUUCCAUUUCUCUUUCUUCCAUGGCAAAAGGCUCCUUUCUCUUUCUCUCUCACUCACUUUCUUUCUCUGUACAACUUGGAAGCUUUCUCUCUCUCAAAGCAGCAAGGUCCUCCACCACCACCACCUCCAAUCUCCGUCUUUCACACAGAGAGAGAUACUAUGUGUGAGAUCAGUUUUUGGUUCAUGGAUUCCUUUUCUCUUCUACACAAUUCCAAGCAUCUAUUCUUGGUUUGAACAAGUUUUGGGCUUUUGGUGGUAAUGUGGUGUCUCACUAUAUGAAAGUUGCAGGGUGGAGGGAAAAAAACUGGUCAAUACUAAAGGCAUGUUACGGGCUGCAGGUAUGGUAUCAAUCUGGCUAAAGGUAUUCUGGAACAUCACUCGAAAGGGAUCCUAGAUUCUGACAAACCAAGGAAAUUGCUCGAAGAUUUUCGAAUUGGCAAGCUCAUCACAGGUAAUAUACAUAGGUUGCAGGUUUCUAAUUAGCAUUUUAGGAUAACUUUU